UAAAGAUAUUAGGAGUCAUUAAAGGGACCAAAAAACCAAAAUACAUAAUUUUUACUUUAUGUUCAUUAAGAAAUAUUCUAUUUUGAUCAAUGUGUUGAAAUUUUGCAUUAUGUGUUAAAAUAAUACUAAAUGAAGUUUUUCCAAAGCGCGCAAGUAUAAACAUUCUCAGAAGGACUUACACUGCAUCGGAUUGUAAGCGAUUACCCGG
rnacentral:lncRNA from 1 species